rnacentral:rRNA from 1 species
AAGUCGUAACAAGGUUUCCGUAGGUGAACCUGCGGAAGGAUCAUUAGUGAAUAUAGGACGUCCAACUUAACUUGGAGUCCGAACUCUCACUUUCUAACCCUGUGCACUUGUUUGGGAUAGUAACUCUCGCAAGAGAGCGAACUCCUAUUCACUUAUAAACACAAAGUCUAUGAAUGUAUUAAAUUUUAUAACAAAAUAAAACUUUCAACAACGGAUCUCUUGGCUCUCGCAUCGAUGAAGAACGCAGCGAAAUGCGAUAAGUAAUGUGAAUUGCAGAAUUCAGUGAAUCAUCGAAUCUUUGAACGCACCUUGCGCUCCAUGGUAUUCCGUGGAGCAUGCCUGUUUGAGUGUCAUGAAUACUUCAACCCUCCUCUUUCUUAAUGAUUGAAGAGGUGUUUGGUUUCUGAGCGCUGCUGGCCUUUACGGUCUAGCUCGUUCGUAAUGCAUUAGCAUCCGCAAUCGAACUUCGGAUUGACUUGGCGUAAUAGACUAUUCGCUGAGGAAUUCUAGUCUUCGGAUUAGAGCCGAGUUGGGUUAAAGGAAGCUUCUAAUCAGAAUGUCUACAUUUUAAGAUUAGAUCUCAAAUCAGGUAGGACUACCCGCUGAACUUAAGCAUAUCAAUA